GAGUUUGAUCGUGGCUCAGGAUGAACGUUAGCGGCGUGCCUAACACAUGCAAGUCGAACGAACAGCCAGAAUCUUAGGAAUCUGGCGGGUUAGUGGCGCACGGGUGAGUAACACGUAGGUGACCUGCCCCGAAGUGGGGGGACAACCACUGGAAACAGUGGCUAAUACCGCAUGUGCUUAGCCAUUCGGUUGGUUAAGUAAAGCUGAGGCGCUUCGGGAGGGGCCUGCGGUCGAUUAGCUAGUUGGGGAGGUAAUGGCUCACCAAGGCGAUGAUCGAUAGGGGGCGUGAGAGCGUGACCCCCACACUGGGACUGAGACACGGCCCAGACUCCUACGGGAGGCAGCAGUGAGGAAUAUUGCACAAUGGGCGCAAGCCUGAUGCAGC
rnacentral:rRNA from 1 species